rnacentral:ncRNA from 2 species
ACAUUAUCAAGAGUGAACGAGAGAUCUGGCUCAAUGACUUCACAGCAACCUGCUCAGCAAGGUGCUCCUACCAGCAAGGCUGCUGCCUUGACUGAUGAAAA